rnacentral:rRNA from 1 species
GUGGAUUAGAUACCCUGGUAGUCCACGCCCUAAACGAUGUCAACUAGUUGUUGGGGAUUCAUUUCCUUAGUAACGUAGCUAACGCGUGAAGUUGACCGCCUGGGGAGUACGGUCGCAAGAUUAAAACUCAAAGGAAUUGACGGGGACCCGCACAAGCGGUGGAUGAUGUGGAUUAAUUCGAUGCAACGCGAAAAACCUUACCUACCCUUGACAUGGUCGGAAUCCUGCCGAGAGGCGGGAGUGCUCGAAAGAGAACCGAUACACAGGUGCUGCAUGGCUGUCGUCAACU